ACGAUACGGAACAAAAGAAGCAGCAAAAAUUAAAAACGUAACAAAUGAACGGUUGUGCGGACAAGUUCUGAAUUUAGAACAAAAAAAUAAAAGAAAAAACGCGGCUCACACACAGCUGAGCAGUUAGCGACGAGCCAGUCAGUUGAAACGAUGGAAUUGUGCGAUUUAUGAAGUGUUUUCUUACCAACGUACCACCAACUAAUCGCAGCCAAAAAGUGCCCAUAAAAUUCACAACGCAAAAUAAUUUCGUUUACUAACCGAUUUGCUACAUCAACAAGAAACAAAACAAAAGCGUAUUCAAUUUCAAAAGAGCAACGUUGAACUCUAGAUUAAAAGCGCGACACAAAAGUAAUAAGUACGGAUAAGAAAACAAAAACAAGUAAAAAGUUACCACCGAUAAAACAAAAAAACAGCGAAGUGCCAAACAAAACAAAGAAACAUCAAAUAAGCAAAAAAAAAAGUAUAAAGUAAAGGGCUCAAAAGCAGCUGACUACAACAAUAAGCCACGAACCAACUCAAGGAACAACAACAUAUCCUCCCACCUCCAACCAACCACCACAAUAUAAAUACCAAAAUAUAUAA